rnacentral:rRNA from 1 species
GACGAACGCUUGCGGCGUGCUUAACACAUGCAAGUCGAACGGAAAGGCCCUGCUUUUGUGGGGUGCUCGAGUGGCGAACGGGUGAGUAACACGUGAGUAACCUGCCCUUGACUUUGGGAUAACCUCAGGAAACUGGGGCUAAUACCGGAUAGGAGCUCCUGCUGCAUGGUGGGGGUUGGAAAGUUUCGGCGGUUGGGGAUGGACUCGCGGCUUAUCAGCUUGUUGGUGGGGUAGUGGCUUACCAAGGCUUUGACGGGUAGCCGGCCUGAGAGGGUGACCGGCCACAUUGGGACUGAGAUACGGCCCAGACUCCUACGGGAGGCAGCAGUGGGGAAUAUUGCACAAUGGGCGGAAGCCUGAUGCAGCAACGCCGCGUGCGGGAUGACGGCCCUCGGGUUGUAAACCGCUUUCGCCUGUGACGAAGCGUGAGUGACGGUAAUGGGUAAAGAAGCACCGGCUAACUACGUGCCAGCAGCCGCGGUGAUACGUAGGGUGCGAGCGUUGUCCGGAUUUAUUGGGCGUAAAGGGCUCGUAGGUGGUUGAUCGCGUCGGAAGUGUAAUCUUGGGGCUUAACCCUGAGCGUGCUUUCGAUACGGGUUGACUUGAGGAAGGUAGGGGAGAAUGGAAUUCCUGGUGGAGCGGUGGAAUGCGCAGAUAUCAGGAGGAACACCAGUGGCGAAGGCGGUUCUCUGGGCCUUUCCUGACGCUGAGGAGCGAAAGCGUGGGGAGCGAACAGGCUUAGAUACCCUGGUAGUCCACGCUGUAAACGGUGGGUACUAGGUGUGGGGUCCAUUCCACGGGUUCCGUGCCGUAGCUAACGCUUUAAGUACCCCGCCUGGGGAGUACGGCCGCAAGGCUAAAACUCAAAGGAAUUGACGGGGCCCCGCACAAGCGGCGGAGCAUGCGGAUUAAUUCGAUGCAACGCGUAGAACCUUACCUGGGUUUGACAUGGAUCGGGAGUGCUCAGAGAUGGGUGUGCCUCUUUUGGGGUCGGUUCACAGGUGGUGCAUGGCUGUCGUCAGCUCGUGUCGUGAGAUGUUGGGUUAAGUCCCGCAACGAGCGCAACCCUUGUUCACUGUUGCCAGCACGUUAUGGUGGGGACUCAGUGGAGACCGCCGGGGUCAACUCGGAGGAAGGUGGGGAUGACGUCAAGUCAUCAUGCCCCUUAUGUCCAGGGCUUCACGCAUGCUACAAUGGCUGGUACAGAGAGUGGCGAGCCUGUGAGGGUGAGCGAAUCUCGGAAAGCCGGUCUCAGUUCGGAUUGGGGUCUGCAACUCGACCUCAUGAAGUCGGAGUCGCUAGUAAUCGCAGAUCAGCAACGCUGCGGUGAAUACGUUCCCGGGGCU